rnacentral:rRNA from 1 species
GAUGAACGCUGGCGGCGUGCUUAACACAUGCAAGUCGAACGGUGAAGGCGGAGCUUGCUCUGCUGGAUCAGUGGCGAACGGGUGAGUAACACGUGAGCAAUCUGCCCCUGACUCUGGGAUAAGCGCUGGAAACGGCGUCUAAUACUGGAUACGAGCUGCGAAGGCAUCUUCAGCAGCUGGAAAGAACUUCGGUCAGGGAUGAGCUCGCGGCCUAUCAGCUUGUUGGUGAGGUAACGGCUCACCAAGGCGUCGACGGGUAGCCGGCCUGAGAGGGUGACCGGCCACACUGGGACUGAGACACGGCCCAGACUCAUACGGGAGGCAGCAGUGGGGAAUAUUGCACAAUGGGCGAAAGCCUUAUGCAGCAACGCCGCGUGAGGGACGACUGCCUUCGGGUUGUAAACCUCGUUUAGCAGGGAAGAAGCGAAAGUGACGGUACCUGCAGAAAAAGCGCCGGCUAACUACGUG